rnacentral:rRNA from 1 species
AUUGAACGCUGGCGGCAGGCCUAACACAUGCAAGUCGAGCGAGCGGCGGACGGGUGAGUAAUGUCUGGGAAACUGCCUGAUGGAGGGGGAUAACUACUGGAAACGGUAGCUAAUACCGCAUACCAUCAGAUGUGCCCAGAUGGGAGUAGCGAGUAGGUGGGGUAACGGCUCCCCUAGGCGACGAUCCCUAGCUGGUCUGAGAGGAUGACCAGCUAGACUGGAACUGAGAAACGGUCCAGAAUCCGACGGGAGGCAGAAGUGGGGAAUAUUGCACAAUGGGCGCAAGCCUGAUGCAGCCAUGCCGAGUGUAUGAAGAAGGCCUUCGGGUUGUAAAGUACUUUCAGCGGGGAGGCGUUACCCGCAGAAGAAGCACCGGCUAACUCCGUGCCAGCAGCCGCGGUAAUAC